AGCAGCAGCAACCGCCACUGCUGCUCCGAGAAGCCGCGUGUUACCGUUGAAUGAAGGUGGAUAAGGAAAAACACACUGCUGAAGAACUAAAUCGUGGCUGUUUACAGCGCAAAUCUUUGGCUGUACCUCAUAACGAAGACAGAGAUUUAGUGGGUGCACCUGACUAGAGUGUGUGUCGUGUUACAUCUUCCCUUUUUGAUGUCAAACCCCAUGGAAAAGGGUCAGAGGCUGUGGCUGUUUUGGGGGUUUGUGCCCCCCCCCCCAGGAGCCCCAGGAG